GACGAACGCUGGCGGCGUGCUUAACACAUGCAAGUCGAACGGAAAGGCCCUGCUUUUGUGGGGUGCUCGAGUGGCGAACGGGUGAGUAACACGUGAGUAACCUGCCCUUGACUUUGGGAUAACUUCAGGAAACUGGGGCUAAUACCGGAUAGGAGCUCCUGCUGCAUGGUGGGGGUUGGAAAGUUUCGGCGGUUGGGGAUGGACUCGCGGCUUAUCAGCUUGUUGGUGGGGUAGUGGCUUACCAAGGCUUUGACGGGUAGCCGGCCUGAGAGGGUGACCGGCCACAUUGGGACUGAGAUACGGCCCAGACUCCUACGGGAGGCAGCAGUGGGGAAUAUUGCACAAUGGGCGGAAGCCUGAUGCAGCAACGCCGCGUGCGGGAUGACGGCCUUCGGGUUGUAAACCGCUUUCGCCUGUGACGAAGCGUAAGUGACGGUAAUGGGUAAAGAAGCACCGGCUAACUACGUGCCAGCAGCCGCGGUGAUACGUAGGGUGCGAGCGUUGUCCGGAUUUAUUGGGCGUAAAGGGCUCGUAGGUGGUUGAUCGCGUCGGAAGUGCAAUCUUGGGGCUUAACCCUGAGCGUGCUUUCGAUACGGGUUGACUUGAGGAAGGUAGGGGAGAAUGGAAUUCCUGGUGGAGCGGUGGAAUGUGCAGAUAUCAGGAGGAACACCAGUGGCGAAGGCGGUUCUCUGGGCCUUUCCUGACGCUGAGGAGCGAAAGCGUGGGGAGCGAACAGGCUUAGAUACCCUGGUAGUCCACGCUGUAAACGGUGGGUACUAGGUGUGGGGUCCAUUCCACGGGUUCCGUGCCGUAGCUAACGCUUUAAGUACCCCGCCUGGGGAGUACGGCCGCAAGGCUAAAACUCAAAGGAAUUGACGGGGCCCCGCACAAGCGGCGGAGCAUGCGGAUUAAUUCGAUGCAACGCGUAGAACCUUACCUGGGUUUGACAUGGAUCGGGAGUGCUCAGAGAUGGGUGUGCCUCUUUUGGGGUCGGUUCACAGGUGGUGCAUGGCUGUCGUCAGCUCGUGUCGUGAGAUGUUGGGUUAAGUCCCGCAACGAGCGCAACCCUUGUUCACUGUUGCCAGCACGUUAUGGUGGGGACUCAGUGGAGACCGCCGGGGUCAACUCGGAGGAAGGUGGGGAUGACGUCAAGUCAUCAUGCCCCUUAUGUCCAGGGCUUCACGCAUGCUACAAUGGCUGGUACAGAGAGUGGCGAGCCUGUGAGGGUGAGCGAAUCUCGGAAAGCCGGUCUCAGUUCGGAUUGGGGUCUGCAACUCGACCUCAUGAAGUCGGAGUCGCUAGUAAUCGCAGAUCAGCAACGCUGCGGUGAAUACGUUCCCGGG
rnacentral:rRNA from 1 species